AGAUCAUGUAUACCAUGGAAUAUCAUAAAACGUUCAGAGCAUGUUCUGUCAUGUCAUGUACAAGAAUAUGCCAUAUUAUGUCAUGUUAUGCUAUGUAAUGUACAAGAAUAUACCAUGUCAGAAAUGUUCAUGAAGCUAAUAAAUUCUCAUGCAUUAAAAAAGAUAA